rnacentral:rRNA from 1 species
GAUGAACGCUGGCGGCGUGCUUAACACAUGCAAGUCGAACGGAAAGGCUCCUGCUUGCCGGGGUACUCGAGUGGCGAACGGGUGAGUAACGCGUGGGUGAUCUGCCCUGCACUUCGGGAUAAGCCUGGGAAACUGGGUCUAAUACCGGAUAGGACCACAUUUUGGAUGGUGUGGUGGAAAGUUUUUCGGUGUGGGAUGAGCUCGCGGCCUAUCAGCUUGUUGGUGGGGUAAUGGCCUACCAAGGCGUCGACGGGUAGCCGGCCUGAGAGGGUGUACGGCCACAUUGGGACUGAGAUACGGCCCAGACUCCUACGGGAGGCAGCAGUGGGGAAUAUUGCACAAUGGGCGCAAGCCUGAUGCAGCGACGCCGCGUGGGGGAUGACGGCCUUCGGGUUGUAAACUCCUUUCGCUAGGGACGAAGCGCAAGUGACGGUACCUGGAGAAGAAGCACCGGCUAACUACGUG